UGGGUAACCUGCCUCAAAGAGGGGAAUAGCCUCCCGAAAGGGAGAUUAAUACCGCAUAAUAUGUUUAAGUCGCAUGACUUUAACAUCAAAGGAUUUUCUUUUAGAAAUUCCACUUUGAGAUGGACCCGCGGCGCAUUAGCUAGUUGGUGAGGUAACGGCUCACCAAGGCAACGAUGCGUAGCCGACCUGAGAGGGUGAUCGGCCACAUUGGAACUGAGACACGGUCCAGCUCCGUAGGGAG
rnacentral:rRNA from 1 species